AUUGAACGCUGGCGGCAUGCCUUACACAUGCAAGUCGAACGGUAACGCGGGGCAACCUGGCGACGAGUGGCGAACGGGUGAGUAAUGCAUCGGAACGUGCCUGGUAGUGGGGGAUAACUGCUCGAAAGAGCAGCUAAUACCGCAUACGACCUGAGGGUGAAAGGGGGGGAUCGCAAGGCCUCUCGCUAUCAGCGCGGCCGAUGUCGGAUUAGCUAGUUGGUGGGGUAAAGGCCCACCAAGGCAACGAUCCGUAGCUGGUCUGAGAGGACGACCAGCCACACUGGGACUGAGACACGGCCCAGACUCCUACGGGAGGCAGCAGUGGGGAAUUUUGGACAAUGGACGCAAGUCUGAUCCAGCCAUGCCGCGUGCGGGAAGAAGGCCUUCGGGUUGUAAACCGCUUUUGUCAGGGAAGAAAUCUUCUGAGUUAAUACCUCGGGAGGAUGACGGUACCUGAAGAAUAAGCACCGGCUAACUACGUGCCAGCCGCCGCGGUAACAC
rnacentral:rRNA from 1 species